rnacentral:rRNA from 1 species
GUGGGGAAUCUUGCGCAAUGGGCGAAAGCCUGACGCAGCCAUGCCGCGUGAAUGAUGAAGGUCUUAGGAUUGUAAAAUUCUUUCACCGGGGACGAUAAUGACGGUACCCGGAGAAGAAGCUCCGGCUAACUUCGUGCCAGCAGCCGCGGUAAUACGAAGGGGGCUAGCGUUGCUCGGAAUUACUGGGCGUAAAGGGCGCGUAGGCGGACAGCUUAGUCAGAGGUGAAAGCCCAGGGCUCAACCUUGGAAUUGCCUUUGAUACUGGCUGUCUUGAGUUUGGGAGAGGUGAGUGGAACUCCGAGUGUAGAGGUGAAAUUCGUAGAUAUUCGGAAGAACACCAGUGGCGAAGGCGACUCACUGGCUCAUUACUGACGCUGAGGCGCGAAAGCGUGGGGAGCAAACAGGAUUAGAAACCCCUGUAGUCC